UUCCGGGUUGAUCCCGCGGGACCUUGACUGCUAUCGGAUUGAUACUAAGCCAUGCGAGUCAUUGUAGUAAUACAAGGCAGACGGCUCAGUAACGCGUAGUCAACCUACCCUAUGGACGGGGAUAACCUCGGGAAACUGAGAAUAAUACCCGAUAGAACAUUAUACCUGGAAUGGUUUAUGUUUCAAAUAAUUUAUUGCCGUAGGAUGGGACUGCGGCCUAUCAGUUUGUUGGUGAGGUAAUGGCCCACCAAGACUAUUACAGGUACGGGCUCUGAGAGGAGUAGCCCGGAGAUGGGUACUGAGACACGGACCCAGGCCCUAUGGGGCGCAGCAGGCGAGAAAACUUUGCAAUGUGCGAAAGCACGACAAGGUUAAUCCGAGUGGUUUCUGCUAAAGGAACCUUUUGUCAGUCCUAGAAACACUGGUGAAUAAGGGGUGGGCAAGUUCUGGUGUCAGCCGCCGCGGUAAAACCAGCACCUCAAGUGGUCAGGAUGAUUAUUGGGCCUAAAGCAUCCGUAGCCUGCUUUGUUAGUUUUCGGUUAAAUCCAUACGCUUAACGUAUGGGCUGCCGGGAAUACUGCAAAGCUAGGGAGUGGGAGAGGUAGACGGUACUCGGUAGGAAGGGGUAAAAUCCUUUGAUCUAUUGAUGACCACCUGUGGCGAAGGCGGUCUACCAGAACACGUCCGACGGUGAGGGAUGAAAGCUGGGGGAGCAAACCGGAUUAGAUACCCGGGUAGUCCCAGCUGUAAACUAUGCAAACUCGGUGAUGCAUUGGCUUGAUGCCAAUGCAGUGCCGCAGGGAAGCCGUUAAGUUUGCCGCCUGGGAAGUACGUACGCAAGUAUGAAACUUAAAGGAAUUGGCGGGGGAACACCACAAGGGGUGAAGCCUGCGGUUCAAUUGGAUUCAACGCCGGG
rnacentral:rRNA from 1 species